UCUCCGUUGGUGAACCAGCGGAGGGAUCAUUAUAGAGUUUUCUAAACUCCCAACCCUUUGUGAACUUACCUUUGUUGCCUCGGCGCUAGCUGGUCCUUCGGGGCCCCUCACCCUCGGGUGUUGAGACAGCCCGCCGGCGGCCAACCUAACUCUUGUUUUUACACUGAAACUCUGAGAAUAAAACAUAAAUGAAUCAAAACUUUCAACAACGGAUCUCUUGGUUCUGGCAUCGAUGAAGAACGCAGC
rnacentral:misc_RNA from 1 species